CCUCUUCCAAUGGUAGGUGGUGAUUAUGACCGGCUGCCUGGCCUUGGUGUUCCAUUUCCAUGUGGACAACCAGGUCGGGCAUUUCCCAGAUUUCGAACGCGGCGAAAUUUUUCCCCUAAUUGUAAUCUUGGAGGAUUCAAUGGAUAGUUUGGUAAUAUCGAGGUUUCUGUGUAUCAUGCUGCAUGCUAUAAAUUGGCUAGUUGAGGACAUGUUG
rnacentral:misc_RNA from 1 species